GCCGUGAUAGCUCAAUUAGAGCACUAUAUUGAAGCUGUAGAGGUAGUUUAACUUUUUGGCA
rnacentral:tRNA from 1 species